UCCCCGGCCCUUUUCAGGGCCACCAAAAUCUUCACACAAGAACUAU
rfam:Branchiostoma floridae genomic scaffold BRAFLscaffold_174, whole genome shotgun sequence.